AUGAAUAUUGCCCUCCUCUCCCGCUGGCUUUGGCGAAUCUCGCAAGGGCACGGUGGUCUUUGGCUUGACAUCAUCCGGAACAAAUACCUGCGCGGAUAGACUCUCGCCUUCUGCCAGAAGUCUGGAGGUUCUCAGUUCUGGCAGUCGAUCGUCCAGCUUCUUCCGGUUCUCCGUAUCGGGACCUCCAUCUCGGUGGGAUCUGGAACCUCGACGCCGUUCUGGUUGAUCGUUGGGCCGGAGACACCCCCUUCGCGUCUCGCUUCCCUGGCCUCUUCUCCAUCUCCGUUGACCCCGUGA
rnacentral:rRNA from 1 species